AACGAACGCUGGCGGCAUGCCUAACACAUGCAAGUCGAACGAGACCUUCGGGUCUAGUGGCGCACGGGUGCGUAACGCGUGGGGAUCUGCCCUUUGCUUCGGAAUAACAGUUAGAAAUGACUGCUAAUACCGGAUGAUGACCUCGGUCCAAAGAUUUAUCGGCAAAGGAUGAACCCGCGUAGGAUUAGCUAGUUGGUGGGUAAAGGCCUACCAAGGCGACGAUCCUUAGCUGGUCUGAGAGGAUGAUCAGCCACACUGGGACUGAGACACGGCCCAGACUCCUACGGGAGGCAGCAGUGGGGAAUAUUGGACAAUGGGCGAAAGCCUGAUCCAGCAAUGCCGCGUGAGUGAUGAAGGCCUUAGGGUUGUAAAGCUCUUUUACCCGGGAUGAUAAUGACAGUACCGGGAGAAUAAGACUCCGGCUAACUCCGUGCCAGCAGCCGCGGUAAU
rnacentral:rRNA from 1 species